UACGUAGGUGGCAAGCGUUGUCCGGAAUUAUUGGGCGUAAAGGGCGUGUAGGUGGAUCUUUAAGUCGUGUGUCUAAGUGCGGGGCUCAACCCCGUAUGGGCGCAGGAAACUGGGGAUCUUGAGUGCAGGAGAGGAAAGUGGAAUUCCCAGUGUAGCGGUGAAAUGCGUAGAUAUUGGGAGGAACACCAGUGGCGAAGGCGACUUUCUGGACUGUGUCUGACACUGAGGCGCGAAAGCUAGGGGAG
rnacentral:rRNA from 1 species